ACGCUAGCUACAGGCUUAACACAUGCAAGUCGAGGGGCAGCAUUUUAGUUUGCUUGCAAACUGAAGAUGGCGACCGGCGCACGGGUGAGUAACACGUAUCCAACCUGCCGAUAACUCCGGAAUAGCCUUUCGAAAGAAAGAUUAAUACCGGAUAGCAUACGAAUAUCGCAUGAUAUUUUUAUUAAAGAAUUUCGGUUAUCGAUGGGGAUGCGUUCCAUUAGUUUGUUGGCGGGGUAACGGCCCACCAAGACUACGAUGGAUAGGGGUUCUGAGAGGAAGGUCCCCCACAUUGGAACUGAGACACGGUCCAAACUCCUACGGGAGGCAGCAGUGAGGAAUAUUGGUCAAUGGGCGAGAGCCUGAACCAGCCAAGUAGCGUGAAGGAUGAAGGCUCUAUGGGUCGUAAACUUCUUUUAUAUGGGAAUAAAGUUUUCCACGUGUGGAAUUUUGUAUGUACCAUAUGAAUAAGGAUCGGCUAACUCCGUGCCAGCAGCCGCGGUAAUACGGAGGAUCCGAGCGUUAUCCGGAUUUAUUGGGUUUAAAGGGAGCGUAGGUGGAUUGUUAAGUCAGUUGUGAAGGUUUGCGGCUCAACCGUAAAAUUGCAGUUGAAACUGGCAGUCUUGAGUACAGUAGAGGUGGGCGGAAUUCGUGGUGUAGCGGUGAAAUGCUUAGAUAUCACGAAGAACUCCGAUUGCGAAGGCAGCUCACUAGACUGUCACUGACACUGAUGCUCGAAAGUGUGGGUAUCAAACAGGAUUAGAUACCCUGGUAGUCCACACAGUAAACGAUGAAUACUCGCUGUUUGCGAUAUACAGUAAGCGGCCAAGCGAAAGCAUUAAGUAUUCCACCUGGGGAGUACGCCGGCAACGGUGAAACUCAAAGGAAUUGACGGGGGCCCGCACAAGCGGAGGAACAUGUGGUUUAAUUCGAUGAUACGCGAGGAACCUUACCCGGGCUUAAAUUGCAACAGAAUAUAUUGGAAACAGUAUAGCCGUAAGGCUGUUGUGAAGGUGCUGCAUGGUUGUCGUCAGCUCGUGCCGUGAGGUGUCGGCUUAAGUGCCAUAACGAGCGCAACCCUUAUCUUUAGUUACUAACAGGUUAUGCUGAGGACUCUAGAGAGACUGCCGUCGUAAGAUGUGAGGAAGGUGGGGAUGACGUCAAAUCAGCACGGCCCUUACGUCCGGGGCUACACACGUGUUACAAUGGGGGGUACAGAAGGCGGCUACCUGGUGACAGGAUGCUAAUCCCAAAAACCUCUCUCAGUUCGGAUCGAAGUCUGCAACCCGACUUCGUGAAGCUGGAUUCGCUAGUAAUCGCGCAUCAGCCAUGGCGCGGUGAAUACGUUCCCGGGCCUUGUACACACCGCCCGUCAAGCCAUGAAAGCCGGGGGUACCUGAAGUACGUAACCGCAAGGAGCGUCCUAGGGUAAAACUGGUAAUUGGGGCUAAGUCA
rnacentral:rRNA from 1 species